UCUGAUUUCCUUGUCAAUAGGAUGGAGACGGAGCAAGACUUUGAGUUCCAUGUCAAUAGGAUGGAGACGGAGCAAGACUUUGAGCAACAAGAGAAGCAGUCUCAAAGUGUGGAUGCACAGAAUCUGAUGAAGGUUAAGCAAAAUUGCUGAUAAGGACACAAAGGAUUGUGCCAACAAGGUAAUGAACAGGCUCUUUACCAAUGGCCUGAUGUCCUUGUUCAACUUCAACGGCCAUUGCGCAAAGCGGGGAUUAGGAAACACAACUGUGUACUCUGUUGUCAACGAUACCUACAAACAUGUCAUUAUUCUGUAGUAUAUUUUGCAUUAAUAACUGGGUGGUUUGAGCCUUGAAAGCUGAUUGGCUAACAGCCAUGGUAUAGUUAAGCAAUAAUACAGGAGAGCCCAUGUGUUAUGAUGACAUUUUUAUCAUGGCUGUGAGUGUCAUAUCCAAACAAGCAAAGUCCUCUGGGUUUUGUGGUACCGUAACCACAAAAUACAUGGUUACAGUCUGUAUCCAGGCAUGCUGAGUUGCGCUGUGCAUAAGUAAAGCCUUUACUACACCCUCCCAUUGCUUAGAGGGUCACUAAGGUCGCACAAUCAAAAUAACAUGCUCUGUCUGUUUUAAUAGACUAGAUUCUUAUUUUGUCUUAUAAACUUGUC